CCUACGGGAGGCUGCAGUGAGGAAUAUUGGUCAAUGGACGAGAGUCUGAACCAGCCAAGUAGCGUGAAGGAUGACUGCCCUAUGGGUUGUAAACUUCUUUUAUAAAGGAAUAAAACGAGGCACGUGUGCCUUUUUGCAUGUACUUUAUGAAUAAGGAUCGGCUAACUCCGUGCCAGCAGCCGCGGUAAUACGGAAGAUCCGAGCGUUAUCCGGAUUUAGUGGGUUUAAAGGGAGCGUAGAUGGGUUGUUAAGUUAGUUGUGAAAGUUUGCGGCUCAACCGUAAAAUUGCAAUUGAUACUGGCAGUCUUGAGUACAGUUGAGGUAGGCGGAAUUCGUGGUGUAGCGGUGAAAUGCUUAGAUAUCACGAAGAACCCCGAUUGCGAAGGCAGCUUACUAAACUGUGACUGACAUUGAUGCUCGAAAGUGUGGGUAUCAAACAGGAUUAGAUACCCCAGUAGUC
rnacentral:rRNA from 1 species